UGAACCGGAGAUCCUCCUGCCUCAGCCUCCCAAGCCACUGAGGAUUAUAGGCAUGCACCAAUGCACCCAGCUAGAGGAUCUUUUUAUGAUGAUGAUCUCUUUUCUAGUAUUCUUUUAUUUUAUAACAAGCAUAUGUAUUGCCUAGGGAACAAAACGGAAGCAGUUUAAAUUGAACAAAACUAGUUCAGAUCUAACCUACCUGGUAGUUGAGACUGCAGAAAGGUGGAGUGGGGUCUUACUGGUGGGACACAGGGUCUUACUGGUGGGACACAGGGUCUGAUACAGUAUAUCAGCUUUUGCUGUUGACCUUGUUGGGGCAAGAAUGAUGGGCAAGAGGCUUAGAGCCACUGUCCAGAUGUUUCAUCCUUGCUGAGGAGAUUUGGAUACAAAAGAUCCAAACAAGAGCUCUGCUGAAGAGUAUUGCAAAAUGGGUUUUUGUUACUGAAUUAUUUUCAAGUCCUUUGGACGCCUAGAGAAAUGGUCCCAUCUCUUCUUCACUUGUAAAGGAUUAUAGAUACAAAGUAGCUCUGAGGCAUGGGGGCCCUUUCUCGGCCUCAGCCCUGUAACAAGUCCUCCUUUAGAAAGGGGAAUCUUGAUUUUUGUGCUUGCUGCUUAUACCAAGUUGGAAGAAAAUGAUAACUCUUUACAGAUUAGCCCAGAAACCUCUUCAUUCCUUUCUCUGUUGGCUUUGAUCACUUGUUUCCAAGCCCAGAUUUUCCCUUCAUCUGCAAUAUGUCCUGGGGAUUCUAUGUAAAGGACAGGUCCCGGGCACCAGCAAUGGAGGUUCUGAUGCUGUGGCUGCUGAGUAGCUUUGGGGAUCUGUAGUGAUUCAUGUAGCCCUUCCAACAAUCUUACGAAAUGGAAGAACAAAGUUCAAAGCCAAUUCAUUUCCCCAAAAUCGCACUUAUGUUAAGCAUCUCUGUGUUCGGUCGGGUGCUGGUAAAUGUUUAAGAUCCUGUUGUUUCAAAACUUCCCUCCCUUCAAACGAGCCCUUAUUGGGUGCCUUUGCCAAUUCAGCGGUGAAAAUAUUCUGUCCUUGUCUGACUUCAAGCUAUCCACAUGGUAUUAGUGAAGAAAUUUUUAGGAACACACUAACAUUUCAACCACCCUCUCAUAAAUAACUCUAAGGCCAUAGAUUAUAUAGUAUACUAAAAUCAUUAGGAAGUAGGAAAUUUUGUUCAUUCCUUUAAUUUAUUCACUCAUUUAGUAAUUAUUAUUUCAUUGUAAGUUCAUAAAAUUAAAAUUUCAAUAAUGGCUGAGGUUUAACAUUUAGCUUUCCAAAAUUCUUAGGGCAAGGCAGCUCCUCCAGCAGGCCUGUGUGCCUGACCAUGCAACUCUUUACAUCAAUGUUCUUUGGAAAAAUGGUUCUUACAAACCUUUUCUGAAAUGAGGUUUAACAUAAUUUUAUUUAUUUACUCACAUAUGGUACUUGGGAUUGAACCCAGGGACACUUUAUUUUGAGACAGGGUCUCCCUAAAUUGCUGAGGCUGGCCUCAAAUUUGCAAUCCUCCUGCCUCAGCCUCCUGAGUGGCUAGAAUUUUAAGAGUGCCUGGCCUGAUUUUAAAGAGUCAAAUAUGUUUAGAAACUGCUGCAUUGUUUGCUCCUUUAAAGUCUACCCUUUUGAUUGGCAUAUGUUAGGCCCUGCCUAAGAAAGGCUCAAGUGAAGAUCCUUAAUCUCAAAACAAUGGUUUUCUUUGUCAUGAAAUAGUAGCAUUCAGCAGCCUAUAAGAUCAGUGUCCUUUGAGUCCAGUUGGAGGCAUGUCCCAUACAUAUAAUCCCAAAUAGUCCAGAGGCUGAGGCAGGAGCAUGGAAAGUUCAAGGUCAGCCUCAUCCACUUAGAGAGACUCUGUCUCAAAAAUAAAAUUUAAAAAGCUGGAGGCAGGGUGAGCUGGGGUGUAGCACAGGGGCAGAGCGCUUUCCUAGGUCCCAUCCCCAGUUAUGAGGGCGGGCAUUGGAGAGGGGUUUUUUGGGGGGAUGGGAGGUGAUCCAAUUGGGGAAAUGCUAUGCAUUUGGGGAAAUUCUAGUAAAGUGAAUAAAGGCGCUGACUGGAGCCAGACCACCUGAAUUUGAAUCCUGACCCUGCUGUUUACUAGCUGUGGAUCCUUUCCUGUCUCAGUUUCCUCUAAGCUAUAAAAUAGAAAUAAUUUGAACUCAGAGAUCCUCCUGCCUAAGCCUCUCAAGCUGCUGGGAUUAUAGCUGUGUGCCACUGUGCCUGAAUCUGUUUAUGAUGAGGAUGAUCUCUCCUCUCAUAUUCUAUUUUCUUUUUAAUAUGGGUGUUGCAAGGAUUUCAUGAGCCCACGUGUGUGUAAAGUGCUGAAAGCAAUUCCAGGCACCUAGAAAGUGCUAUGUGAGGAUAAGCUAUGUUUGCAGUCCUUAGACCACUGAGCCUCUGUCCUAAUCUCCAGACUCUCAGGUUUCUCAAGCUGUACCAAAGAGAAAGGGUGGAAAGGAAUGGGCUCUUGACACUCCUUCAACAUAUUUCUCUAACCCUUAGAAGGAUUAUGAAUUUGCUAUUUUCUUUCCAGAGCCUGCUGAUGGGGACUGUGAUUUUGGAUGUGCAUACAUUUAAAUAAAAUCUCUUUAAAUAGAAACCACUUAGGUGUCACUGAGGACUUUUGUCUUGGCAUCCAGAAUAGCAGUGGUUCUGUGGUAGGCCUCUGCUUUCUGAGUCAGCAUGAUUGGGAGCUGGUAUCAUCACCCUUCACAGAAGACUGGUCCAGGUUCUGACCUUCCCUAACCACCUCCUAUCCAUGGCUUUUUCCCAGCAAAAUGAAGGGCACGAAGCCCUCCAAUGCCUGCCUUCUGGCCAAUCUAGUUAACUGCAUUCUGCCUUAGGAGAGGGAGUGGUGGAGAGGCCAUGGUACACCAAGUUCCACAAGAGCUGGGGUGAGACAAGCUGGCUGUGACUUCGUUCUACUUCUGUGAAAGUCUGACUUUAUUGGAAGGAAGGGUAAGUUUGGCAGAGGGCAUGAAGAGACCAUUAACAAAAAGAAAUAUGAAUAGAAACACACACACACACACAGUACUGUACUAGGGAUUUAACCCAAGUCCUUGUGCAUACUAAGCAAGCCCUCUACUGCUGGGCUACAUUCCCAGCCCUUUUUAUUUCUAUUUUUUGAGACAAGGUCUUUCUAAGUUACCUAGGCUGACCUUGAACUUGUAAUCCUCCUGUGACAGCCUCCCAAGCAGCCAAGAUCAUAUUUAUGCACUACCUGAAUACAACUGUAACUGCAUCCCAUGGAUUUUAGUAUGAAGAGUUCUUCCCAUUUCUUUGAGGAUUUUGUUGUUGUUGUUGUUGUUUGUUUGUUUGUUUGUUUUUGUUUUUUGGGUUUGUUUUAGGUGCCUGAGAUGGAACAUGGCCUCACACACACUAGGCAAGUGUGCUACAUCCCCAGCCCUUUUUUGAGUGUUUGUUUGUUUUUCAACAACAAAGGUGUACUGUUGUUGUCAAGCUAAGUGGUUUAAAUGUGUAGUUCCAGCUACUUGGGAGGUUGAGGGAGGAGGGCCUCAGGGAAGAGUUCUGAGCUCAGGCAAUGGAGAUGAGGCUGGGUAACCUAGCAAGACCCCACCUUAAAAAAAAUAAAGAAAUGGGUAUAUUGUUAGUUAUUACUUGUGUAAUAAAAAAUAAAGGGAAAAAAAGUCCGGAAAAAAAAAAAAAAAAAAAAACCAAUCCCACAGUGUUAGCUUUUCGAGACACUGACCAAAUACUCAACAUAAGCAACUUGAAAGAUUUCCCUGGGCUCACAGUUUCAAAGGCUUCAGUCCAUGGUCUGCUGGUUCAAGGCAGAAGCAUCAUAGCAGAAGGACAUGGUGGAGAAAAACUGCUCGGCUCAUGACAGCUGAGGAGGAGUGGGGGAGAGAGAAAGAAGCAUACGCCAGUCAGCAGCAGUAAGCAGAACUGCCCAGCUGAGGCGGGCCUGGGUCACCUAACCUCAUCAACUUGUAUACAUGAAAUAUGUAGAUAUAAAUACAGUCUGUGAGUUUUCUCAAAUAUUUUUUUAAAUUUGUUUUAAGUCACUGAGUUUGGGAGUAAUUUGUUAUAUAGUAGUAAAUCAUACAACUCAUCAAUAAAAUAUAUGUAAUGCCAUACUAAGUGCUGUUAUAAAUGAUAUAACCUAUGCUUACUAACGUGGAAAGAUGCUGUCUAUUCAAUACUGUUAAGGGGAAAAGUUAAGUUUCAUAACACAACCAAUCUAGGUAUAAUUACAAUAUAAACAUACAGAUAUAAGAAAGGAAGUAUUGCAUUUUUUUUCUGCAAAAAUAAGAAAUGAGGAUCAGGAAAUAUUUUGUUUUUGCUAUAAUCUUGUAUAUUGUUUGAUUUUAUUCAUUCAAAGAGCAUCUAUCCAUUUUAUAAUUGCAAAUAUGGCAAAGGCAAUGAUUAUGAUAUAUACUGAGAAAGCAGAUUAGUCUUUCUAGCUAAAAAAAUAAUGUAACUAGAGAGGACAAGAGGAUAGUGGGCAGCCUUGAAAGGUGCUAGAUAGAGUUCAGGUCUGACGUACAAUGAAGCAGAUGUAACAAUGGUCAACACUGAUUAGUGCUUACUGUGAGUGCUCUGCUAAGGGCACUAUCUCAGGUGGUCUUCACAGUGACCUUAUGCAGCCAUAAUUUUAACCAUCCUUAUUUUACAAAAAAAGAAACAGGUUCCGAGAGGAUAAAUAAUUUGCUAGAGAUAACAUAGCCUGGAUUAGAACCCUCUGACCCCAGAGCCCAUCUCCUUGCUAGUAUACACAUUUAUCCUCAUUGCAUGGCUCUGAGGACAAGGAAUGACAUGGAGGAGUGACAAGGAGACACCAAAUAUGGAAGCCAAAUACUUGACUUCUUACAAGGUGAAGGGCUGUAGAUGAAGGUUAGGUAGAAGACAUUAUAGCAAAGAGGAUAUGACACAGAGUCAGCCAGAACCAGAGGUCAUGUCCUACCUCUGCCCUCAGUAGCUGAGUAAUUGUGCACCAGUUAUUCAGACCAACCUAACCCUGGCUUUGUCCUUCCGUGAAAACAUGGAAGAGUAAGCACCUCCUUCAUAGUUGUGAGAAUCACUUCAGGGCUUGGCAAGUAAGCCAUUAAUUAAUGGUUACUAAUAUUUUAAUAUAAAUGCUCUUUGGAAACUAUAAAAUGCUCAUCAGAUACUAAUGCAACCUACGAACUAGUGAACUUGAUGAGAUUGAUCAAGGCUGGGGGAGAGAUUGCAGUCAGACACUGGGCCUGACCUGAGGGCCCUGAUUGGAAUCUCAGUGAGAGACCUCGGUGGGAAUGCCCCAUCAGGCAGAAGAGACAUUCCUGUUGAAGAAGCCACAGACCUUGUUGACAGCCGGUAUCCAGAGAUGAAUAAAUGUGACAAGUUCAAAAGGUCACCAUGGAUGACAAGGAAUGACCAAGGUUUACAAUUUGGAAAAAUAAUGAUGAACCUAAUGAAAAAUGCUUCAUUAACGAGUCAUCAGAACUGUGUUGAAGUUGGGGAGAGAAACCUAUGAAGGAUUUGUUCAUUCAUUUCUUCCUUCAGAAAUAUUUACCACCUAUGUGGCUGACACUGUGGUAUAGUCAAGCAGAUUACAGUGUGGUGGUAAUGAGGAUCUUAGUCAAAUGAUCACACAAGUAGGUGGAAAAUACACCUGUGAUAAAUGCAAAAAAAAAAAGUGUGUAAGGUUAUGGAAAUAGCAGGAAAGCAUUCACUGAGAAAGUCAUGAGCUGAGAGUUGAAGGAUGAAUAGAAACUUAAACACUGUUUAGUAUUAGGUUGUUACUUUGCAGAUGUGUGGCUCAGCUUUGAGGGGCAAUUUAUAUUUAGCCAUGUAAAUUAGAGGUUCUCCCACUCAAGCAUGCAUCUGAAUCAUAAGAAGGACUUGCUAAAAUACGGACUGCUGGACCUCAACUCCAAAUAGUCUCAUUGGUAAGUCUGAGGUGGCCUAAGAAGGUGUUUCUCUGAUAACUUCCAGGUGACCCUGCUGUGACUGUUCUGAUGGGCUUGGGGCACAUUUUUGAGAACUACUGCUCCAAAUUAACACAGUACCUCUUGCCAACUAACGGAACUAAACGUGAGCAACUUCUAACAAAUGUUUUCCAGGUUGCUCGCCACAAAAAUCAAUUUCCAAAGUCUUUUGGUUGCAAGGUUUUUUACACGAGGUUAAAUGUUAACAUUGCAUGUUCAACCUUUCAAUCCUUAAUAAAAAAAAUAAAAAAGCAAAGAACACCACUGCAAUUGUAGAAUCGCCCUGCAGUUAGCUCUGGGUGAACAAAUGUCAAAGCUCUGAAAACCACGCUAAUGGAAUCUUUGAAGGGAAAGAUGGGUGCCUGGCCUCCAAGCCUGCAGCAGUGCAGAAGAGACCAUUUCAUUUCUGCAUGCAGGGCUAGACAAGGAACGUGUUAGGAGGACAAUGGGCUUGUUUUGAACGAACCUCCAACAUAUGGCAUAGGAAUUCUGCUCCUUGGAGGUUGGGAAAAGGGGAAGCUGCUAGCCAUCAAUUGCUAAGACAUUUUAAUGCUUUAAAAACCCAUUUUUUAAGAUUACACAACAAAUGCAUGAAUAUAUUGCUCUUCUAAACAAAUUGAAACAGCACAGACAAGGCUAAGCCUCCCCAACACUAAUUCUCUGCGCCUUUCCUCAGAAGUAAUUUAUGUUGCUAAUUUGAUGUUGAUGUUCCCGGGCUCUCUUCUAACAGUUUCCAUGAGAACAGUUGAUCAUUAUUGUUUUGUGUGAUGGUAUCAUACUUUAUAUAUUGUUCUACAGUUUACCUCAUUUUUCACACAUUGGUGAAAAUAUUAUAGAUUUUUCUAUGCUGGUAUAUAAUUCCACUACAUUCUUCUUAAUAUUUGCAUACAAUUGCAUAAUAUAGAGGAACACAGCUUAUUGACAGAUAUUGAAGCUCCUUUUUCCUUCCUAGUUUGUUUUAUUUUUUAGUGAAAAUAAACAUUGCUAACUAUUCUUUAUCAUAUGUGCCUUCCUGUAGGCAUGUGUGGAUGCUCCUACAAGGGACAUACGGAGGAAGAGAGCCACCGAGACGUGGCACUGGCAUCUUUUACAUUUGAACAGAUACUGCUGAUCUGCCCUCCUACCACCAACCUUGUCACUGCUUCUUUAUACAUUUGACAAUAGUUUUCACAUUCUGAAGAAGAUGAUUCUAAAUCCUUCCCUGAUGCAUCCACCAUGACUGUAAACAAUCACAUCCAAUCCCUUAUGCAGAGGCAGUGUGACUCCACUACCUAGAACUGUAUGACCUUAAUGAAGCAACGUGCUGAUCAUCUGCACUGCGGACAUCAAUAACACAUACCACAAAGGGGCAUGGAAAGAAGAAGGCUUGGAGUUAAUCUUCCUCCAUCCUCCCAGCAGAACAGGGCACUGUGGCUGCAGUCUUGCAGAUAUAAACAAGAGCUUUGACAUUAAGCAAGCCAAAGAAGCCUGGUGAGCAGCCUUCCAGAGUCACACAGUCCUAUACAUGGGCUGAGAGCAUGUGAAAACAUGACCACUGAACUGAAACUGUGGGCCAGAAGAAGGAGGGAACUGCGAUAUUUUUCUUUUGAUUUAUUGCUUUGUAAGGAGUUGCCUGUGUAACAAGAGAAGCGUGAAGAAAUGGCAGAAACUCACUACGAAUCUUGCAAUCCUGAAACAGCCAACAUUAACAUGAUCAUGCACUUACAGGCACCGCCCUGCGUGUGCACAAAUGUGUUAUGUUGUGUUCAGAUACCAGUGGCAGAUAACCAGAAAUGAAGGUGACGUAACCAUGAGAGAAGCUCAUUUCUCUCCAACAUAGAAGUCUGGUGGCAAAUUCUCCAUAGCAUCAGCUACCUGGCUCAUCUAUAUUGUUAGAGUAUUGCUUGUGGCCUUCACCUCAUAGUCCAAAGGAUAGUAUUUGUGUCUAGUAGAGAGAGGAAGGGACAAAGUGGUGGUAGUGGUGGUGGUGGGGGCAGCCAAAGGAAUGCUUGAUCUCAAAGACUCUUCCACUUGACACUUCUGCUUACAUCCCAUUGGCCUGAGCUAAGUUGUAGGGGACUUGGGAAAUGUAGUCCUUGUUCUGGAAGCCAUGUGCCUAGUGGGAACUUGUUAUUACCAUGAAAGAAGGAGGAAGAGAUAUGCAGGAAUAUCCGGCAAUCUCUAUCACAUUGUUUAUGCAAUGUUACAUAAUAGGAUCCCUGAAAUAGCCUGAUGUAGUGAUAAAGAUUACAAACUCUGGAGAUAAUUAUAGGUUGAAAUCUGGCUAAGUCACUUAUUCUUCAGUGUCCUUAGCUAUAAAACAAUGAGUAGAGGUCUGGGGAUGUGGUUCAAGCGGUAGCACGCUCACCUGGCAUGCGUGCAGCCCGGGUUCGAUCCUCAGCACCACAUACAAACAAAGAUGUUGUGUGCUGAGAGCCA